AUUGAACGCUGGCGGCAUGCUUUACACAUGCAAGUCGAACGGCAGCGCGGGGCAACCUGGCGGCGAGUGGCGAACGGGUGAGUAAUAUAUCGGAACGUACCCAGAAGUGGGGGAUAACGUAGCGAAAGUUACGCUAAUACCGCAUACGAUCUACGGAUGAAAGUGGGGGACCUUCGGGCCUCAUGCUUGUGGAGCGGCCGAUAUCUGAUUAGCUAGUUGGUGAGGUAAAGGCCCACCAAGGCGACGAUCAGUAGCUGGUCUGAGAGGACGACCAGCCACACUGGGACUGAGACACGGCCCAGACUCCUACGGGAGGCAGCAGUGGGGAAUUUUGGACAAUGGGCGCAAGCCUGAUCCAGCAAUGCCGCGUGAGUGAAGAAGGCCUUCGGGUUGUAAAGCUCUUUUGUCAGGGAAGAAACGGUAGAGGCUAAUAUCCCUUGCUAAUGACGGUACCUGAAGAAUAAGCACCGGCUAACUACGCGCCAGCAGCCGCGGUAAUACGUAGGGUGCAAGCGUUAAUCGGAAUUACUGGGCGUAAAGCGUGCGCAGGCGGUUUUGUAAGUCUGUCGUGAAAGCCCCGGGCUCAACCUGGGAAUUGCGAUGGAGACUGCAGGGCUUGAAUCUGGCAGAGGGGGGUAGAAUUCCACGUGUAGCAGUGAAAUGCGUAGAGAUGUGGAGGAACACCGAUGGCGAAGGCAGCCCCCUGGGUCAAGAUUGACGCUCAUGCACGAAAGCGUGGGGAGCAAACAGG
rnacentral:rRNA from 1 species